rnacentral:rRNA from 1 species
AUGCAGUCGACGUGGAAGCGGUGGUCGCACUUGGGCAGCGUCCGCACCUUCUCGCCGUCGGCCACCUCCGAGAGGCACACCGCGCACUCGAGCGCGUCGCGGCUGCUCCUCCUCCCCUGGCCGCCGGGCGUCUUGGGCGAGGCGCCGCCGCCGUAG